rnacentral:rRNA from 1 species
UACAGAGGAGCCAAGCGUUGUCCGGAUUGACUGGGCGUAAAGCGCACGCAGGCGGAUGCGCGCGUGGGGUGUGAAAUCUGGCCGCUUAACGGCCAGGCGCCAUCCCAUACGGCGUAUCUGGAGGGCUGCAGAGGUCGAUGGAAUUGCCGGUGUAGUGGUGAAAUGCGUAGAGAUCGGCAGGAACACCCAGGGGGAAACCAGUCGACUGGGCAGCACCUGACGCUGAGGUGCGAGAGCGUGGGGAGCGAACCGG